rnacentral:rRNA from 1 species
AACUAGAUUUUAUGGUAUAAAUACUUAACUUAACCUAAAUUGUAAAAGCAUUUUUAAACUUAGUAAAGGUGAUUAAAAUUUAUUUUAUUAUAUCCGAAAAAAGUACUGUGAAGGAAGGCUCGUAAAUUAUAUUAAAGAAAAAAUUAAAAUUUGUACCUUUUGUAUCAUGGUUUAACUAGAUAUUUAUUUUGUAUUUAAAUGUCUCGAAAUCCAAUGAGUUAUCUUUAUUCACUUUAUUAGAAGAAUGGGACUAAUUGUGGCAAAAAUUUUCCCAGAAAUAAAGAUGGAAAUGAAAUUUUAUUCGUAUUGGAUGAUAGCUAGUUCUUCUAAAAGGCAUGUAAGUGCUUUAAACUAAUUUUACUUUUAUAAUAAAAAGAUAAAAUAAAUUUUAGUUUAAUUAGAUUUUUGAGGAUAAGCUCGAAAAUUAUAAAUCAAUUUGUAUGUUAUUUUAAUUAGAAUUUAAGCUUGAAAAUAGCUAUAAUCUUGAUUUUGUUACAAUUUCAUUAAAUUCCUAAAAAAAUAAUUGAUUUGCUUUAUAUUUAAAUGAAGAAAACUUAAGAACCCAAAUAAGCUGAACCUAUGUUAAAAUGAGUAUUAACUAACUUAUAAUCUUUAAUAUUGUAUAUCUUAAGAUUAAUAUUUUUAUAUCAAUUUCAAAUUAUAAAAAGGAACUCGGCAAAUACACAUUCUGCCUGUUUAGCAAAAACAUGGCUCCUUGUUUACAGUAUAUAAGGAGUCGGACCUGCCCAGUGAAAUUUUUUAACGGCCGCGGUACUCUGACCGUGCAAAGGUAGCAUAAUCAUUUGCCUUAUAAUUGAAGGCUAGUAUGAAUGGUUUGACAAGAGUGUAGCUGUCUCUUUAUAAUUAAACAGAAUUUUAUUUAUAGGUGAAGAAGCCUAUAUUAAAUUAAAAGACAAGAAGACCCUAUCGAGCUUUAAAGAAACUAGUAGACUAAACAAUUAAUGAUACCAGAAAAUUAGCUAUUAGAAAUUUUAGUUGGGGCGACUGAGGAACAAAAAAAGCUUCCUUUAAAAGUUAAAACUAAGCAAGUAUUGAUCCAAAACAUUUUGAUUAAAGGAAUUAGUUACCGUAGGGAUAACAGCAUUAUCUUUUUUGAGAGCUCCUAUCGAAAAAAAGGUUUGUGACCUCGAUGUUGGACCAGAAUAUCCUAAAGAUGCAGCAGUCUUUAAGGGUUGGUCUGUUCGACCAUUAAAAUUCUACGUGAUCUGAGUUCAGACCGGCGUGAGCCAGGUCAGUUUCUAUCUUUAAUUUAAAAAGUAAACUUAGUACGAAAGGACCAGUUUACUGUAAUAUUAAUACUAUAACAUGAUAUUAUAUAAUGUAUGAUUUAAUAUAUCAAAUUAGCAAAAUAAAUGCAAU